rnacentral:lncRNA from 10 species
UUUGGCCAAUGGAAUUGGAAGUAUCAUGUGCAACUUCUGGCCAGAGGUUUUAAAAGACACUGGUUCUUUUCCAUUUUUCCUCUGCAAUAAACAUGGCUACAUCCAGAUAGAGCCUGGACGUUUAAAUGAAGACAUGGAGCACAGCUGCCAUCAACCCAUAGUGAAAAAACAGAGACUUUGAGCUUUGAGCAUCUACAGCAAUGACAGGCUAAAGAAGAAAAGAACAAGGAGGAGGAGAAGAAGAAGGAGAAGGAGGAGGAGAAGAAAGAAGAGGAGGUGGAGAGGAAGGUGGAGGAGAGGCAGGAGGAGGGGGAGGAGGAGGAAAAGAAGAAGAUGACAGAGGAAUGGAAAAAAGAAUAGCAUAUGCAAAAUUAUUAAUUUGGGUAAGACUUCAAAAAGAAGAUAAACUUAGUACUAUUUAUUUAAUAUAAGUUUUGAUAUUAAAAAUAUAAGAAUUUAUCCAUAGGCCCACAAAGUCCCAAGAGCUGAUAAUUAAUAGCUGGAGGAAUUUGGUUAUAUCCAGAGCAAGGACCCUUUGGGCUAUUAACCAAGGAAGAGAACAUCAGAAGAGAAAGAAAUGAGAACUUUCCACCCCCUCUUCCUGAACUAUCCUUUUGCUAGCACACAAAACCAGGCCAAGAAUUGCCUCCUGAGGCUAGAGAGGGUUUGAUUGUACUUUUUUGGCUGUUUAUGUGGUUUUACUGCUUUAUAUUUUCACAUGCCUUUGUGGAAGGGAAGAGGAAAUAUAGUCCUGAGAGUCUGUUCUCACGAAGAGGAAGCCACAGCAAAUCCUGAUAGAGGCAGAAACCCCUUGGGUCAUAUUUUCCCUUGCUCUGUUGUAGGAGGAAAAUACUUGAGUGACUGGGUUCAUCUUCUCACAUAAAUAAAGAGUUCUUUAUUUGGAAUCAGUGUUGACCAACUAGGGCAUUGGAAAGCACAGUAUAUUCUCACUUAAGGGCUAAUAUAAUCCAGUGGAGUGACAUGAAUUAGUUAGUGGUACACAAUUCUCAGAGAAAGUCACUUUAUGAGUUCUUCUAUUUAUAUUUUUCUAUUAUUAUUAUGAUUAUUACACGAUUGUCUUAUUCUAUAGUGUUACUUUUUAAGGGCCUCUUAUCCUACUCUCUAAGAUUAGACCUAUAAGCCUUGCCAGAACGUAGAGCUUAACAUGGAGACAGGAUACAGGGUACAUGGAGGCUGGCACUGUUGUAGAUCCCAUGACUUUUUGUAAACUAUGAUCAAAAACAGAGAAAUUGACACUGCAAAAUAUGAUCCUACACGUUUAAAUAAUUCACUUGGCCAGGCAUGGCGGCUUACACCUAUAAUCCCAGCACUUUGGGAGGCCUAGGUGGGCAGAUCACUUGAGGUCAGGAGUUCGAGACCAGCCUGGCCAACAUGCUGAAACCCCAUCUCUACUAAAAACACAAAAAAUUAGCUGAGUGUGGUGGUGGAUGCCUGUAAUCCCAGCUGCUUGGGAGGCUGAGGCAGGAGAAUCGCUUGAAUCCAGGAGGUGGAGGUUGCAGUGAGUCAAGAUCUCACCACUGAACUCUAGCCUGGGCAACAGAGCGAGGCUCCAUCUAAUUAAUAAAUAAAUAAAUAAAUAAAUAAAUAAAUAAAUAAAUAGUUUACUUAAAUAAAAUAUAAGAUAACAAAAUUAAGUGGAAAGUAUUUCUAUUCAAGUCUCAAACCCUAAGUUAUCUUAACCUAUUUGGUUAGACAAGAAAAAUAUACUGGUCGAAAUUAAGCCAUUUCUUUGAUAAGAAAAAUAUACUGGUCGAAAUUAAACCGAGAGAACCUUGGGAAUGUAAGUGUGCCACAGCACACCCCUUCUUCCCAUCUCCCACUGCGAUGAGUUACUACCUCCUAAUUCAGGGUGAGUCUUCUUCUUUCCAUCUUGACCAUUACUUUCUUAGUUCCGACUCUGUCACCUAAUUACAUCAGCUCUUGAAAAGCAGAGGAUGUUCUCUGAUUGGUGGUAGAAGUAGAAGUAAGAGAGAUUCAACCAUAAGAAAAAUUUUACAUGCCAUUGCUGAUGUUGAAGAUGGAAGGGCCAUGUGCAAGGACUGGAGCUGGGAGAGGCCCCCAGCUGACAACCAACAAGGAAGACCUCAGUCUUACAACCAUGAGGAACUGAAUUCUGCCAAUAACAGGAAUUGAAAGAAGAGCCCAAGGUCCAGAUGAUAAUGCAGCUAGCCACCACAUUGAUUUCAGCCUAUUGAGACCUUGAGAACCUAGUUAUACCACCUAGACUUCUGACCUCCAGAGCGGUGAGAUAAUAAAUGGGUAUUGUUUUAAGUUGCUAAGUUUGUGGUACUUUAUUAUAACUAAUACACUAGCACAUAGAACUCUGUGCACGGUAGUCAUUCCUCUUUUAGGAACAAGAAAAUUUCAGCUAAUUGAAGAUUUACUAUCUAACCAAAAUAUACAACUACUGGAUAACUAAGAAAAUGCUAGAUG